rnacentral:lncRNA from 1 species
UAUUUACACCCCUAAUAUUCCAAAAGAUCCACUUCAUUGAGUUUUACUAGUUCCCCCUUCAUCCAGGGGAUGAUCAGCCCACCUAACUGUCCCUACUUCAAAUCUGUUAGACAUCACAAGAGGAGAUAAAGGAGGAAACUUAGCAAUGUUGAAGACUGGAGAGUCUUUAACAACCUGCUUCUGUCUGUUCCCAAUAUCAGUUGUAGCUCUAAUGCUUGGCUCCUUAAUUACCUCUUGACACUGGAUGUGAGGCAUCUGGUUGUUUUGGACUGCUGUACCUGGUGCUUUCACUCUCCAUUCUUGUGUCACCUUACUUUUNNN